AUUGAACGCUGGCGGCAGGCCUAACACAUGCAAGUCGAGCGGAUGAAGGGGGCUUGCUCCUGGAUUCAGCGGCGGACGGGUGAGUAAUACGCAGGAAUCUACCUAGUAGUGGGGGAUAACGUUCCGAAAGGGGCGCUAAUACCGCAUACGUUCUGAGGAAGAAAGCAGGGGCUCGUAAGACCUUGCGCUAUUAGAUGAGCUUGCGUCCGAUUAGCUAGUUGGUGGGGUAAAGGCCUACCAAGGCGACGAUCGGUAACUGGUCUGAGAGGAUGAUCAGUCACACUGGAACUGAGACACGGUCCAGACUCCUACGGGAGGCAGCAGUGGGGAAUAUUGGACAAUGGGGGCAACCCUGAUCCAGCCAUGCCGCGUGUGUGAAGAAGGCCUUCGGGUCGUAAAGCACUUUUUGAGAGGAUGAGGAAGGACGGUACUCUCAGAAUAAGUCUCGGCUAACUACGUG
rnacentral:rRNA from 1 species